CAUAGCUCGACAUUCUCCGAACACAUCUGCAACCAUUGUAGUCUGAACUAUGUUGGUUGAAACCAACAUGGUUCAAACUAACAAAGUACUAUGUAAGUACGACGGUUUUGGGAAACAGUCGUAACUUACAUGUUGGUUAGUUGAACGAUGCAUCGUACCACGUUAGUAAAAAGCUAACCUCCGUAGUUGUACGGGAAACGCACCCCUGACCCACGCCACUCACCUACUGUUUCCUAACUGUCUCAUGCCACAAACUGUAACAUUAAGCUGACACAAUCUUGCUGCACGGUUACUUAUCUGCAUGCAAUCCCUAUUGCCAGCUGUUAUGAGUAAACUUUAUAUUGGGACACCAAUAUAUUUCUGAUUCACGGGCAGUGUAUUUGCUACUGAAGAAAAAGAGAACACAUAGUAAUUGUUCUUGGAUGGGGAUUUAGAGUAAGGUUUCAAUUGAUAUUUUUCAGAUAAGGCCUCUUCAUUUUCAACUGUGAAGGAUAUACAUGGACUUGGUCUGGAUAGCCUUUCCUGUUUUGAUGAGCCAGUCGGGUCUAGAGGAAAAACCCUAUAUGAGCCCCAGGAUCCUUGCUCCUGAUAUCCUGAUGUAUGGGUUGCACUUCAUUAUAUGACUCCAACAGAACACUCACAGAAAGGAGAGUGGUGUCAAACUACAAGACAGCCAGCAUAUCCUCGCUCCUGAUAUCCUGAUGUAUGCAUUCCAUUUCAUUAUAUGACUCCAACAGGACACCUACACAAAGGAGCUGUUAAAGCAGUGUCCUUCUACAAACAACAAGACAGCGAGCAUGUAAACAAGGCCUUGUUUGUCCACUUCCUGAAGGGGCUGAAGCAUGCUGGCCUUGACACCUCAGUCCUUGCUUCCAUUUACAGCUGUGUUGUGGAGCGCAUUCUCACAUCCUAUGGUCUGCAGCGGGUGGUGUCAUCGUGUUAUUUAUCAUCGUUUGUGUAAAUCUUACACAUCUUACACAAAAGUCUAAAAUAAUCUAAACUUCAUUCACUCUCCAUGUAUAGAUCAAGAUAGACUUGCAGAACAGGCUGCAGGGCAACAGUCUGAUAGCCUGCAUGAAAGCAUAAAUGGUCCGCACUUGUUAAAGAGUGCAAUUAUCAAAGGGCCCUUGAAUUGUGUUUUUUUAAACCAAGGAGGAUGGCUGUAGCGAUGCUGUCAGCUCUGCCAUAAGCAGUGACUGUGAUUACGUUUGCACAUUUUGAAAAUGUUGUUUUUCUUUCUUUUGCAUUCUUUUCCACUUCAUUGUUGUAUAGUUUGUAUAAUGUUUGUUAAAGUUGCACACAUUAAUUCACUGUUCUUAUUUGUAAAAAAUUGUAUAGUGUGGUAUAGUUUGUAUGGUGGAGUCUUUAUUGUAUCGCACAAACAAGAACACCCCACCCCACCAUACCACUUUGACUAACCAAUUUUCUGCGGGAAACCCUGGAGGCUUUCUACAGGUAUUUUGUGAAACAUAGGGGUUGCUAUGGUAGUGGUUGCUAAGCUAUUGCUAGGGUAACUGAGAAGGUUGCUAUGGUGUUGCUACAGGAUAUAUAGUGGUUGCUAUGCAGGUUUAUAGGGUAAUCAUGUUGGUUGCUAGGUUGGUGAUAGAGUAACUGAGAAGGUUGCUAGGGUGUUGCUAGAGUAGAUAUGGUGGUGGCUAUACUAAAUUAAGUGGUUGCUAUGCUGGUUGCUAGGGUAAUUGAGAUGGUUGCGAGGCUAGUCAUGUUGGUUGACUAUCAAAGUGGUUGCUAGGUUGGCAUUGUACAGGUGGUUGCUAGGUUGUUGAUAGGGUAACCAAGAAGGUUGCUAGGGUGUUGCUAGGGUAGAUAUGGUGGUUGCUAUUCCAAAUAAAGUGGUUGCUAUGCUGGUUGCAAGGUUAAUCAUGUUGGUUGCAAUGGUGGUUGCUCAGUUGACAUUGUGGUGGUAGUUGUGAGGUUGUUGGUAGGGUAAUUAAUAUGGUUGCUAGGUUGUUGCUAUGGUUCUUAUGUUGGUUGCUAGGUUGUUGCUAGGGUAACUUAGAAGAAUUUUGUUCAGCUAAUACAUUUUGGCCUACACUAUUAAGGGACAGCUGAAUUGACCAUCUAAACCAUAUAUUUUCUUAAAGCCUAUAGUCUGUAGAUGUCAAUUAAUAUGAAUUAAGACAUGUCCAACAUUCCUACUUACUUUGGUGCAUCAUAUAGGCUUAAGCAAUACUGCUAUUUUUGCUCUUAGACUAUAAAAAUCCAUAAUCACUUUAAAAACGCUAACUGAUUACAAUUUUUGAAAGUCAAUUUCUUUAAAUCAUGCUUGAAAUUGUAACCAUAUUCUUUAUUGAGUUAUGUUAAUUGACUAUAAUACUAUUGUAUUGUCAUCCUUCUUUGGGACUUGAGUACUUCAAUAUCCCCUUCAUGUAUCAAUGUACAUUAAAGCAUCUUUGAUAGUAAA